UAGGGAAUCUUCCGCAAUGGGCGAAAGCCUGACGGAGCAACGCCGCGUGAGUGAUGAAGGUCUUCGGAUCGUAAAACUCUGUUAUUAGGGAAGAACAAAUGUGUAAGUAACUAUGCACGUCUUGACGGUACCUAAUCAGAAAGCCACGGCUAACUACGUGCCAGCAGCCGCGGUAAUACGUAGGUGGCAAGCGUUAUCCGGAAUUAUUGGGCGUAAAGCGCGCGUAGGCGGUUUUUUAAGUCUGAUGUGAAAGCCCACGGCUCAACCGUGGAGGGUCAUUGGAAACUGGAAAACUUGAGUGCAGAAGAGGAAAGUGGAAUUCCAUGUGUAGCGGUGAAAUGCGCAGAAAUAUGGAGGAACACCAGUGGCGAAGGCGACUUUCUGGUCUGUAACUGACGCUGAUGUGCGAAAGCGUGGGGAUCAAACAGGAUUAGAUACCCUGGUAGUCCACGCCGUAAACGAUGAGUGCUAAGUGUUAGGGGGUUUCCGCCCCUUAGUGCUGCAGCUAACGCAUUAAGCACUCCGCCUGGGGAGUACGACCGCAAGGUUG
rnacentral:rRNA from 1 species